CUCGCCCUCCGGGUCUUGCUCCCUGCACCUCAGCUUGGUCACGCCUUCCCCAGGGGACUCAGGAUCAGGCUGAGACGCGGUGCUGGAUGAGACUUUGCCUGCGGGACUCUCCACUCUGCCGCUCCAGCCCUCGGCGGGUCACGCCAGGCCUUCCUGGCUUUCCACUGGCAGCUGAAUCCUGGAUCCUGGGCGAAGCUGACACUUUCCCCUCCGUCGCGCUCCCUGGGGCUGGGUUUGUGCAGUCGCACUCGUGUGCCAGAUCACACACGAAGCUCACGCGUGUCCUCGCGACUCUGUGCAGGCAUGUUCGUAUGUGUGUGCAUGUGUCUCCAUGCGCGCCACGCAGGGCUCUUGAAAUCGGUCAUCCGGGACGGCGGGCACCUGAGGAAGAAGCGUCAGUGUUGCAGAGUUUGGGCCAGGCUGGAGGGGCAAAGGGGCUGGGAAGUGAGUCCGGAAGACCCCCCUCACAAAGCCAGGACCCCGGGCAGACAUUUCCCAAGUAUUUACUGAUUUGUCUCAUUUUUCUGCUCCUCAAACAAUGCAGGUUGCCAUUGGAGUGGUUCCCUUGCUCUCCAUAUGACCCUCAGCAGGUGAAGGGCGGUGUGGCUCUCGAAUGGCCAGGUUCUCAGUUUGACAGUUGCACCUGCUCCCAGUCUUCCGAAUGGUGUGUACAUGUGUGCGGCUGACAUGCACUUUGAGCACAUCCCGGAGCAUGGUAGAAGGCUGCAGAGCAGCGAGGACAGUGCCUGUGUGUCCCUGGAGGCCUUUUCUGUUUGGGAAGCCUGAAGCUGCCAGGGAAGGUGCACGGUGUGUGGAUGUUUAUGCGACUGCUGCUCAAAGCAUCAAGCCUCCUCACCUGGUCAGAAGCCCUGAAGGACAUAAGAUAGCUCAACUUUCCGACGCUUUAGUUUUCUUUCUUCUUGUGCUGGAUUCCACCUCGAGACCAGCGCAGCACUGCGUCCCGAAGCUUCUCAUGACAGUCAGGAAGGAUGUCUGUUUUCACAGCGUGGCUCAGGGGUUCUUGGUGUCUCCAGCCCUUUUAGGGACUCUGUGAGGUUGCAACUAUUUUCACAGUGACGCUUAAGACAACAGAUAUUUUUCAGAAGCAAUGUGGCGAGCGAAGAUGCCAUGGCUUGAAAACUGGUGGAAUGUGUCUCGUGUAAUUGCAUGUUCUCCCCAGUUUUUCAGUCAGCAGGAUUGAGGGGUAUAUACUCAUGUUGUGUAAGAUUAACUCAGUUUGUUCUCAGCAUUUCUCCCUUGUUCUUACUAUCUACCAUACCUGUGCUUACUGUAAGCUUCAUAACUUGUCAUUUUGAAGUCCCAAUUUUCUUGUGCCUACACAGAAAUACAAC
rnacentral:lncRNA from 1 species